rnacentral:rRNA from 1 species
UCCGGUUGAUCCUGCGGGGGGCCACCGCUAUCCCCGUCCGACUAACCCAUGGAAGGCCAGGGAUACCGGGCAAGGUAUCCCGCCGCACGGCUGAGUAACACGUCGGCAACCUACCCUCGGGAGGGCGAUAACCCCGGGAAACUGGGGAUAAACGCCCAUAGGAGAUGGGUGGUGGAAUUCCCCCAUCUCCGAAAGGGAUAAGAGUAUUCCCCUCUUAUCCGCCCGAGGAUGGGCCGGCGGCCUAUCAGGUAGUUGGCGGGGUAACGGCCCGCCAAGCCGAAGACGGGUAGGGGCCGUGAGAGCGGGAGCCCCCAGAUGGGCACUGAGACAAGGGCCCAGGCCCUACGGGGUGCACCAGGGGCGAAACCUCCGCAAUGGGUAUAAGCCUGACGGGGGGACGGGGAGUGCCUCGGGAUUUUUUCCCGAGGCUUUUCGGGAGUGUAAAAAGCUCCCGGGAAUAAGCGGUGGGCAAGAGGGGUGGCAGUCGCCACGGGAAUACU